rnacentral:tRNA from 1 species
AGGCGCGUAGCUCAGCGGGAGAGCGCUUCCUUGACACGGAAGAGGUCAGGGGUUCGAAACCCCUCGUGCCUACCA